rnacentral:rRNA from 1 species
CAAUAGCGUAUAUUAAAAUUGUUGCGGUUAAAACGCUCGUAGUUGGACAUUUGUAGGAGACUGCCGGUCUACCCCAGUGGUCAGUACUUGGCAUGUCUCUUGCACCUUCCUGGUGGAAGUGUUCGUACUUUAUUGUGCGGGGCGUAAUCCAGAACUUUUACUUUGAGGAAAUGAGAGUGCUUCAAGCAGGCAUCCGUCGUGAAUACGUUAGCAUGGAAUAACACUAUAGACCACGUUCUAGAGCUGUUGGUUUUUUAGGUACGAGGUAAUGAAAAGAAGGGAUAGUUGGGGGCAUUCGUAUUUAACUGUCAGAGGUGAAAUUCUUGGAUCUUUAAAAAGAACGAACUACUGCGAAAGCAUCUGCCCAGGAUGUUUCUAUUAAAUCAAGAACGAAAAGUUAGGGGAUCGAAGAUGAUUAGAUACCGU